CUUGAUUGAUUUGGAGAAGGUGUUUUGCAAGUUUUUGAAGACCAGGUAGGAUGAUUUUAAAAUCACUGUUUUUAUUUUUUAUAUAUAGUUUUUUUGGGUUGACCCGGGUCAAUGAUCGGGUCGGGUUUCAAAACUAUGGGCCUGAGACCCUUCCUUAUCAGUCAGACUGGUUCUCAAAAAGCCUAACAAUCACGAGAGCUAGUUGUUUGCGUUCAGUUAUGAUAUAAAUGCUAGCGGGAAAAUGUGAAAACACGUGGAAGCGGACGUUAAAAUAAGUAUUUUUUUUUUAGUAAUUAUUAUGGUUAUAGUUUGAAAAAAAUUAUUUUUAUUACUGUGAUUGGUUCAUAUAAAAUAUGUGUUUCAUUAAAAUUGUGAUUUAACUUUAUUUUGUUAAAAAUCAUGGCAUGAUAUGUGUCUCGGGGUGCAAGCGUCACGACGUUGUCUGGCAACCGUGAGGCUUUUUAUCGUGCCUUCUCUAUGAGGUGUUAUGUGUUGGGAAGAGUUUUUGAAUUUAAUCAUAAAAUCAUAAUUAAUGUUUAGGAGUUGCCACUUAUUAUUAUGGUCACUAGAAACCUAUGGUCUGUGAGAGUCUAGGUAAAGGAUUAGUUGUGCAAGGAGAAGACGCAUCACCCCUAGUGCACAUUACUUAAGGUAAGCUGCAUUGUUGUUUAAUUAUUUUUUUCUAAGUCAGGUUUCUAUUCAUUGGUCUUUUCCAAGGUUCAAGGCAGAUCUCUCUUCAUGAGAAAAUCUCUCCCUUAUUUGUUUAAAUCUAAACCAUUUUAAAAUCUGAAUUUUAACAUCGUAUUUUUAC
rnacentral:lncRNA from 1 species